rnacentral:rRNA from 1 species
UAGAGUUUGAUCCUGGCUCAGGACGAACGCUGGCGGCGUGCCUAACACAUGCAAGUCGAGCGGAGACAUAUCACGGAGAUAAAGUUUUCGGACGGAGUCGAAGAGGUAUGUUUUAGCGGCGGACGGGUGAGUAACGCGUGAGCAAUCUGUCCUGCACAGGGGGAUAACACAGCGAAAGUUGUACUAAUACCGCAUAAGACCACGACCGGGCAUCCGGAUGGGGUCAAAGGAGCAAUCCAGUGCAGGGUGAGCUCGCGUCCGAUUAGAUAGUUGGUGAGGUAACGGCCCACCAAGUCGACGAUCGGUAGCCGACCUGAGAGGGUGAUCGGCCACAUUGGGACUGAGACACGGCCCAAAUUCCUACGGGAGGCAGCAGUGGGGAAUAUUGGGCAAUGGGGGGAACCCUGACCCAGCAAUGCCGCGUGAAUGAUGAAGCCCUAUGGGUUGUAAAUUCUGUUGUUUGGAAGACUGUAGAAUAGGAAAUGAUUUCUGCUUGACGGU